CGUAGGGGCCAAGCGUUGUUCGGAUUUACUGGGCGUAAAGGGCGCGUAGGCGGCGAAUCAAGUCAGCUGUGAAAUCUCCGAGCUUAACUCGGAACGGUCAGCUGAUACUGUUUUGCUAGAGUGCAGAAAGGGCAACCGGAAUUCUUGGUGUAGCGGUGAAAUGCGUAGAUAUCAAGAGGAACACCUGAGGCGAAGGCGGGUUGCUAGGCUGACACUGACGCUGAAGCGCGAAAGCUAGGGUAGCAAACGGGAUUAGAUACCCCGGUAGUCCUAGCCCUAAACGAUGUAUGCUUGGUGUCUGGAGUUUUUAUCUCUGGGUGCCGUCGCUAACGCUUUUAGCAUACCGCCUGGGGAGUACGCACGCAAGUGUG
rnacentral:rRNA from 1 species